CAAAGGUAGCGUAAUCACUUGUCUAUUAAUUGUAGACCUGUAUGAAAGGCAAAACGAGGGCCUAUCUGUCUCUUGUAGUAAAUCAAUUAAACUGAUCUCCCAGUCCAAAAGCUGGGAUGCCAACAUAAGACCAGAAGACCCUGUGAAGCUUAAACUAAACUAUUAAAUCCUAUAAUAGCUCCUUUCGGUUGGGGCGACCCUGGAAAAAAAAAGAACUUCCAAACAUACUGACCUUACAGUCACCUACCCUAGGCCAACAAGCCUAACAACGACCCAGCACAGCUGAUAAUUGAACCAAGUUACUCCAGGGAUAACAGCGCUAUCUUCUUCAAGAGCCCAUAUCAAAAAGAAGGUUUACGACCUCGAUGUUGGAUCAGGACAUCCUAAUGGUGCAGCCGCUAUUAAGGGUUCGUUUGUUCAACGAUUAACAGUCCUACGUGAUCUGAUUUCAAA
rnacentral:rRNA from 1 species